rnacentral:rRNA from 1 species
GAUGAACGCUGGCGGCGUGCCUAAUACAUGCAAGUCGAGCGAACAGACGAGGAGCUUGCUCCUCUGACGUUAGCGGCGGACGGGUGAGUAACACGUGGAUAACCUACCUAUAAGACUGGGAUAACUUCGGGAAACCGGAGCUAAUACCGGAUAAUAUAUUGAACCGCAUGGUUCACUAGUGAAAGACGGUUUUGCUGUCACUUAUAGAUGGAUCCGCGCCGCAUUAGCUAGUUGGUAAGGUAACGGCCUACCAAGGCAACGAUGCGUAGCCGACCUGAGAGGGGGAUCGGCCACACUGGAACUGAGACACGGUCCAGACUCCUACGGGAGGCAGCGGUAGGGAAUCUUCCGAAAGGGGCGAAAGCCGGACGGAGCAACGCCGCGUGAGUGAUGAGGGUCUUCGGAUCUUAAAACUCUGUUAUUAGGGAAGAACAAAUGUGUAAGUAACUAUGCACGUCUUGACGGUACCUAAUCAGAAAGCCACGGCUAACUACGUG